UGUGAGCUCGAUGAGUAGGGCGGGACACGUGGUAUCCUGUCUGAAUAUGGGGGGACCAUCCUCCAAGGCUAAAUACUCCUGACUGACCGAUAGUGAACCAGUACCGUGAGGGAAAGGCGAAAAGAACCCCGGCGAGGGGAGUGAAAAAGAACCUGAAACCGUGUACGUACAAGCAGUGGGAGCACGCUUAGGCGUGUGACUGCGUACCUUUUGUAUAAUGGGUCAGCGACUUAUAUUCUGUAGCAAGGUUAACCGAAUAGGGGAGCCGAAGGGAAACCGAGUCUUAACUGGGCGUUAAGUUGCAGGGUAUAGACCCGAAACCCGGUGAUCUAGCCAUGGGCAGGUUGAAGGUUGGGUAACACUAACUGGAGGACCGAACCGACUAAUGUUGAAAAAUUAGCGGAUGACUUGUGGCUGGGGGUGAAAGGCCAAUCAAACCGGGAGAUAGCUGGUUCUCCCCGAAAGCUAUUUAGGUAGCGCCUCGUGAAUUCAUCUCCGGGGGUAGAGCACUGUUUCGGCAAGGGGGUCAUCCCGACUUACCAACCCGAUGCAAACUGCGAAUACCGGAGAAUGUUAUCACGGGAGACACACGGCGGGUGCUAACGUCCGUCGUGAAGAGGGAAACAACCCAGACCGCCAGCUAAGGUCCCAAAGUCAUGGUUAAGUGGGAAACGAUGUGGGAAGGCCCAGACAGCCAGGAUGUUGGCUUAGAAGCAGCCAUCAUUUAAAGAAAGCGUAAUAGCUCACUGGUCGAGUCGGCCUGCGCGGAAGAUGUAACGGGGCUAAACCAUGCACCGAAGCUGCGGCAGCGACGCUUAUGCGUUGUUGGGUAGGGGAGCGUUCUGUAAGCCUGUGAAGGUGUGCUGUGAGGCAUGCUGGAGGUAUCAGAAGUGCGAAUGCUGACAUAAGUAACGAUAAAGCGGGUGAAAAGCCCGCUCGCCGGAAGACCAAGGGUUCCUGUCCAACGUUAAUCGGGGCAGGGUGAGUCGACCCCUAAGGCGAGGCCGAAAGGCGUAGUCGAUGGGAAACAGGUUAAUAUUCCUGUACUUGGUGUUACUGCGAAGGGGGGACGGAGAAGGCUAUGUUGGCCGGGCGACGGUUGUCCCGGUUUAAGCGUGUAGGCUGGUUUUCCAGGCAAAUCCGGAAAAUCAAGGCUGAGGCGUGAUGACGAGGCACUACGGUGCUGAAGCAACAAAUGCCCUGCUUCCAGGAAAAGCCUCUAAGCAUCAGGUAACAUCAAAUCGUACCCCAAACCGACACAGGUGGUCAGGUAGAGAAUACCAAGGCGCUUGAGAGAACUCGGGUGAAGGAACUAGGCAAAAUGGUGCCGUAACUUCGGGAGAAGGCACGCUGAUAUGUAGGUGAAGUCCCUUGCGGAUGGAGCUGAAAUCAGUCGAAGAUACCAGCUGGCUGCAACUGUUUAUUAAAAACACAGCACUGUGCAAACACGAAAGUGGACGUAUACGGUGUGACGCCUGCCCGGUGCCGGAAGGUUAAUUGAUGGGGUCAGCGCAAGCGAAGCUCUUGAUCGAAGCCCCGGUAAACGGCGGCCGUAACUAUAACGGUCCUAAGGUAGCGAAAUUCCUUGUCGGGUAAGUUCCGACCUGCACGAAUGGCGUAAUGAUGGCCAGGCUGUCUCCACCCGAGACUCAGUGAAAUUGAACUCGCUGUGAAGAUGCAGUGUACCCGCGGCAAGACGGAAAGACCCCGUGAACCUUUACUAUAGCUUGACACUGAACAUUGAGCCUUGAUGUGUAGGAUAGGUGGGAGGCUU
rnacentral:rRNA from 1 species